CUUGUACACAUCGCCCGUCACACCAUGGGAGCGGGAUGUACCAGAAGUAGGUAGGCUAACCGCAAGGGGGCCGCUUACCACGGUGCGUUUCGUGACUGGGGUG
rnacentral:rRNA from 1 species